UACGUAGGGUGCGAGCGUUAAUCGGAAUUACUGGGCGUAAAGCGCGCGUAGGCGGCUUUGCAAGACAGAUGUGAAAUCCCCGGGCUCAACCUGGGAACUGCAUUUGUGACUGCAAGGCUAGAGUACGGCAGAGGGGGAUGGAAUUCCGCGUGUAGCAGUGAAAUGCGUAGAUAUGCGGAGGAACACCAAUGGCGAAGGCAAUCCCCUGGGCCUGUACUGACGCUCAUGCACGAAAGCGUGGGGAGCAAACAGG
rnacentral:rRNA from 1 species